rnacentral:rRNA from 1 species
UAAGUCCCGCAACGAGCGCAACCCUUGUGAUAUGUUACUAACAUUGAGUUGAGGACUCAUAUCAGACUGCCGGUGAUAAACCGGAGGAAGGUGGGGAUGACGUCAAAUCAUCAUGCCCCUUAUGGCCUGGGCUACACACGUACUACAAUGGCGUCUACAAAGAGCGGCAAGCCUGUGAAGGCAAGCGAAUCUCAUAAAGGGCGUCUCAGUUCGGAUUGAAGUCUGCAACCCGGCUUCAUGAAGCUGGAAUCGCUAGUAAUCGCGAAUCAGCAUGUCGCGGUGAAUACGUUCUCGGGCCUUGUACACACCGCCCGUCAAACCAUGGGAGUUGGUAAUGCCCGAAGCCGGUGGCAUAACCCUUCGGGGAGUAAGCCGUCGAAGGCAGGACCGAUGACUGGGGUUAAGUCGGAACAAGGUAUCCCUAC